UACAGAGGGUGCAAGCGUUAAUCGGAUUUACUGGGCGUAAAGCGUGAGUAGGUGGCUGCGUAAGUCGGUUGUGAAAUCCCUGGGCUCAACCUGGGAAUUGCAUCCGAUACUGCGGAGCUCGAGUUCGGUAGAGGACGGCGGAAUUCCCGGUGUAGCGGUGAAAUGCGUAGAUAUCGGGAGGAACAUCGAUGGCGAAGGCAACCGUCUGGGCCUGAACUGACACUGAGACACGAAAGCGUGGGUAGCAAACAGGAUUAGAAACCCCGGUAGUCC
rnacentral:rRNA from 1 species